rnacentral:lncRNA from 1 species
UCCUUAAAUUUUUUGGCAAUUGGCAUUUGUAUGUCACCUUAGGGUCGAUCAAAUGCACAGUGAUUGCUUAAUUUCAAUUAAUUUUUUUAGUGUGAUUUCUUUUAGCUUCUGUUUUCUCUUGGUUGUUUUUACUUCACAUUUGGGUUUUUCAAUUGCAGGAUCAUCCACAAAUUUGUACAGGAAACAAUUAUGGAGAGAUGGUUCAAAUAAACAAUGAGAUUGAUAUCUUUAUAUUGUAAAAUACUACUCCUUAUCACAUGGAUUAAGGUGUAAGUUUGUGUUGUACUAUGGUCAUGGUAAAUAUAUACAAUACUGUUUAUUAAAUGUUAGUAAAUGUCACAUAUCUUCUCAUUAUUUGAAACUUCGAUGCAUUUCAAGAUCCAUAGUCUCGAAGGGUUAGGAACAUGCUUGCGAAGGUAAUAUUAAAGAAAAGAAGUUAAUAUAACAUGCUUGCGAAGGUAAUGUUAGAGAAGACAGGUAAAGACACUGCUGUGUAUGAGAGAGUACAUAUCUUAGGGGGCACUUAUCAAUAACAGGUAAAAGCCUCUCUCUUACGCAAAGUGAAAACGAAAA